UGUGCCACAUCAUCACUUAGUACAUUCUCUGACUCUCUAGCAUCAUAUCAACAUCAUCAUGAUUCAAACAUUAUUCAUAUUGAAAGUGACGCCAAUAAACAACCAAAAAUAAGACAUGACUGUACCACUUGAACAUGCCAGGUUUCCUAGCAACAGCAAUUUAACUAGUAUGUCCAUGCCUAAUUUGCUUUUAAAAUCUGUGCCAAGACUCCCACCUCGGAUAUGAGCCACCGAAAUAUCAGCUUCACCACCACUGAUGGCGAUAUCACUCCCGAAGGAGAAAAGCAGCAUUCAGAAGAUGGUGGUCUUUAAAGCAAUGCCCUGCUCAUGUUGUUGUCAUUCUUGGCUUUGCUCCUGUCACAGAAAGCUUAGCUGCUCAAACUAGAAAAUCCCUUCUUUCUACGGUUACCAAGGAAACUAUUUACUGAGACUCUUUCCCCCCACAGCAUUCAUUCUCGGUUGCCGAAUCAAGAAAAGUACUUACAUUUCGACUUCCACUCUGUGCAUAAUAAGACUAUUACAAGCACAAUGUGUUAUCUGCCUGAAAUGCCAAAGGAUCGCAGGCCUGAGAGGACUUACGAAAAAACUGAUGUGUUUUUAUUGUAUUCCCCUUCUGACGCUGAAUUGAUUGUAAUUGCUGAUGUCUCGGACGUGUAUUUGCUUCUGAAGUCUGUCAUGGUUUGAAAAGGUUUAAGGAUUAUUGUGGAAAAGGAGCAUGAGCUCAAAAUGACUGCUUUUAUUAUUUCACCAACAAUGAAGCCGUAUAAUAGUGCAUCAAAAUUUAUGAAUACGAGCGACUUGUGGAUCUAUCUGGGUCAGUGCUCAAAUCGAAGAAAAUGGGUCAAGAGACAUCAGAGAGACAGACAGAGAUCCUCUAGUCUAAGCUGUUUGGACUCUCAUUCUGACGGCACCCAUUCACUGCAGAGGAUCCAUUGAUGAGCAAGUGAUGUAAUGCUAAAUUUCUCCAAAUCCGUUAAAUCUUGGAUGGCCUGAUGGUCAUCGCAGAUGUAUUUUUCAGUCAGAACAUUCACACAGCAGGAUUCUGAAUCGCUGACAGGUCCAGAUACAGCGGGUAAAAAUAAGUAUUGAUUUCCAAUUUCCACCACAGGAAUAAAAAGCAUUUUAACAUAUUUUACAAUAGAAAACGGUUGCUUUUAAUUGUAAUAUUUCACAAUAAUUUUUUCUGCAUGUCUUUUUACACAUUUUGCUUAAUUUGUCACUUUGUGUAGUAUUGGUCUGCUCACUACCUCAUUCAACUACCUCUUCUGACAGUUUAAAUAAAGAUGUCAGUCUGUGUAUUUGUAUAGUUGUAUUUUAUAUAUUUUUAAUCUGUAUUUAUCUGUAUUUUUAUGUUCUACUGUUAGUGUUAGUGUUAUCUGUAUGCACCAAGGGACUGAGUACAUGUGGAAGAAUUGACGAUAAAGCAGGCUUUGACUUUUGACUUGACUUAAAUUAUACAUUUAAAAAUGUUAAUUAUUCCAGGCUUUUGACUCUUAGUGGAGCACCAGUAGAGAAAAUCAUUUUCAUUUCUAAAAUCUAAAAAGUUAAUAUUGCCUUAUCUAUUUAUCACACUCGCAAUCAUGCAUCUGAAUAUCAGUAUGGCUCGUGUGAUAGAGUUCAGUUUUCUAAAGUUGCUUUAAGCACAAAGGCACAAACACGGCUUUCACUGGCUGUGUCAAUGCUUCCUUGAAAAGCCUUCACCACUGCUUUACCUCCACAACAACGGCAAGCAGAUGAGUUCUAUAAUGUUACCCCUCAUCAGCCAAUGCUCAUUUCUGACCGUCUGACCUCUGGACACCUCAUCCGACUCCUCUCUGAUGGAACCUGUUAUGAUGUCCAGAGAGAUUACAGCUCUGCACCAUUCACAUAAACUCCAGUCAAUAAAUGAAUCCCUG
ensembl:lncRNA